rnacentral:rRNA from 1 species
UACGAAGGGAGCUAGCGUUGUUCGGAAUUACUGGGCGUAAAGCGCACGUAGGCGGCGAUUCAAGUCAGAGGUGAAAGCCCGGGGCUCAACCCCGGAACUGCCUUUGAAACUAGAUUGCUAGAAUCCUGGAGAGGUGAGUGGAAUUCCGAGUGUAGAGGUGAAAAUUCGUAGAUAUUCGGAAGAACACCAGUGGCGAAAGGCGGCUCACUGGACUGGUAUUGACGCUGAGGUGCGAAAAGCGUGGGGAGCAAACAGGG